AGCUUCGUUCAGGCCCGGCCGGGACUUGAUCAUCCUGGAAAUUAUAUCGCUGGCUCGUCCCACUUGGGGGAAAGCCAAUUACCUGGACUGGGAGCCAUUGGCAUCUCGUCCGGCCUCCCGCAGCCAGACAGGAACCCUGAGCUUCUGCUUCCAGCCUGGCCUGGCCUGUCCUAGAGAGUCCGCCUGGGUGAGGGGAGAGCCAGCCUGCGAGGGGCCCCUCCCACAGCCUGGCCUUUCCUGUGGGGCUGCAGUGGAACCUUCUCAUUUGCCUGAAAUGGAAAAAAGUCAAGCCCCGCAGCAGAAAAUGUCCGGGUUGCUGGAGGCGAAGGCUUCUGAAACACCGAACCAGCAGAAAGUGCCUGAGAGCCUCGGAGGGCCUGGGGGGCAAGGCCAGCGAGCCUGGUUUACAGAGAAGAAAAAAGAGGUUCCAAAGGGUGCCCCGAAGCCGGGAGGUCUGAGCUCAUCUCUGCCCCAGCGCGUCCCACAGCCUGGCCCCAGUUCUCAUCCCAAGGUCCCGAGUCCUGGACGGGGGCUCCCUGGGCCCUGAGCUCGGGGUGGGGGAGCCCCGCUCCUGGAUUUCUGCACGGUGGGCUGGG
rnacentral:lncRNA from 1 species